AUUGAACGCUGGCGGCAGGCCUAACACAUGCAAGUCGAACGAGUGGCGGACGGGUGAGCAAUGUCUGUGAAUCUGCCCGCUGGAGGGGGUUAACUAAUGGAAACUGUAGCCAAAACCGCCCUCCUUAGGCUGUGUCCAGGUGGGAGUAGCUAGUAGGUGGGGUAACGGCUCACCUAGGCGACGAUCCCUAGCUGGUCUGAGAGGAUGAACAGGCACACUGGAACUGAGACACGGUCCAGACUCCUACGGGAGGCAGCAGUGGGGAAUAUUGCACAAUGGGCGCAAGCCUGAUGCAGCCAUGCCGCGUGUAUGAAGAAGGCCUUCGGGUUGUAAAGUACUUUAAGCGAGGAGGCGUUACUCUCAGAAGAAGCACCGGCUAACUCCGUGCCAGCAGCCGCGGUAAUAC
rnacentral:rRNA from 1 species